ACGAACGCUGGCGGCAUGCCUAACACAUGCAAGUCGAACGAACUCUUCGGAGUUAGUGGCGCACGGGUGCGUAACGCGUGGGAAUCUGCCCUUGGGUACGGAAUAACUCAGAGAAAUUUGUGCUAAUAUCGUAUAAUGACUUCGGUCCAAAGAUUUAUCGCCCAGGGAUGAGCCCGCGUAGGAUUAGCUAGUUGGUGAGGUAAAGGCUCACCAAGGCGACGAUCCUUAGCUGGUCUGAGAGGAUGAUCAGCCACACUGGGACUGAGACACGGCCCAGACUCCUACGGGAGGCAGCAGUGGGGAAUAUUGGACAAUGGGCGAAAGCCUGAUCCAGCAAUGCCGCGUGAGUGAUGAAGGCCUUAGGGUUGUAAAGCUCUUUUACCCGGGAUGAUAAUGACAGUACCGGGAGAAUAAGCCCCGGCUAACUCCGU
rnacentral:rRNA from 1 species